GUUACUUUAGUGUAGUGGUUAUUUUGUCAAUCUAAGAUUUUCCCUUUUCUCGCGAGGCCGAGAGUUCGAUUCUCGCAUGUGGCA